rnacentral:rRNA from 1 species
AGCCUGCAGUCUAAGUAUAAGUGAUUCUGAUGACGAAACUGCGAAUGGCUCGGUAAAACAGCUAUAAUUUCUUCGAUGCUUUCUUACUACUCCGAUAACCGUAGUAAUUCUAGAGCUAAUACGUGCCACAAACGCGGGGGCAACUCCGUGGUGCUAAUUAGAUAACAACACCAACAUAUGGUGAUUCAUAAUUUUCUUUCUGAUCGCAUGCUUUGAUUGCAGCGACGCAUCGUUCAAAUAUCUGACCUAUCAACUUUCGAUGGUAAGGUAGUGUCUUACCAUGGUGGUGACGGGUAACGGACCGUGGGUGCGGGACUCCGGAGAGGGAGCCUGAGAAACGGCUACCACAUCCAAGGAAGGCAGCAGGCGCGCAAAUUACCCAAUCCGGACUCCGGGAGGUAGUGACAAGAAAUAUCAAUAGGGGACCUGAUGGGUCUUCUAAUUGGAAUGAGAACAUGGUAAACAGCUUAACGAGAAUCCAGCAGAGGGCAAGUCUGGUGCCAGCAGCCGCGGUAAUUCCAGCUCUGUAAGCGUAUACCAAAGUUGUUGCAGUUAAAACGCUCGUAGUCGGAUUUUGGUGGUCUCGCAGAGACGCGCGUCAAGCGUGGACCUGUCGGGGCUGCUUUUGUGGACGACGUGCACAGGCGGCUUUGCUGUCGUCUGUGUAAAGGAAGGGGAGGGAAGCUCCUUCUUGGGGGGGUCGUGAAUCCCCUUUUUUUUUGCGUCACCACCAUUUACUGUGAAAAAAUUAGAGUGUUCAAAGCAGGCGUUUGCCAUGAAUACAUUAGCAUGGAAUAAUGGAAUAGGACUUGGAUCCUAUUUUGUUGGUUUGUGAGGGCCAAGUAAUGAUUAAGAGGGACAGUUGGGGGCAUUUGUAUUCCGGCGCUAGAGGAUUGCCGGAAGACAAACCGCUGCGAAAGCGUCUGCCAAGGAUGUUUUCAUUGAUCAAGAACGAAAGUAAGGGGAUCGAAGACGAUCAGAUACCGUCGUAGUCUUUACUAUAAACGAUGAGGACUGGGGAUCGGGCGUGGAAUUACGAUGACCCGCCCGGCACCCUUCGGGAAACCAAAGUGUUUGCUUUCUGGGGGGAGUAUGGUCGCAAGGCUGAAACUUAAAGGAAUUGACGGAAGGGCAUCACCGGGUGUGGAGCCUGCGGCUUAAUUUGACUCAACACGGGGAAACUUACCAGGUCAGGACAUAGUGAGGAUUGACAGAUUGAGAGCUCUUUCAUGAUUCUAUGGUUGGUGGUGCAUGGCCGUUCUUAGUUGGUGGAGUGAUUUGUCUGGUUAAUUCCGUUAACGAGCGAGACCUGGGCGUGCUAACUAGGGGCUACUACCAUUUUUUUGCGGUAGUGAGUUUUUUUUUCCAACCCCUUCUUAGACGGACUGCGGGCGUCUAGCCCGCGGAAGCUCCAGGCAAUAACAGGUCUGAGAUGCCCUUAGAUGUUCUGGGCCGCACGCGUGCUACACUGAGCGGGUCAGUGGGUGCGGAUGCGCGAAAGCGUUUCCUAAUCCACAAAUCCGCUCGUGAUGGGGAUAGACGGUUGCAAUUUUCCGUCUUGAACGAGGAAUACCUUGUAAGCGUGGGUCAUCAUCCCACGCUGAAUACGUCCCUGCCCUUUGUACACACCGCCCGUCGCUCCUACCGAUUGAGUGGUCCGGUGAGGUCAUGGGAUUGAUAUGAGGGGAGCGUUUACGCUCGUUUCGUGUCGAGAACUUGCCCGAACCUUAUCACUUAGAGGAAGGAGAAGUCGUAGCAAGGUUUCCGUACGUGA